rnacentral:rRNA from 1 species
UACGUAGGGGGCAAGCGUUGUCCGGAAUCAUUGGGCGUAAAGAGCUCGUAGGCGGUCUGUCACGUCGGCUGUGAAAACCCGGGGCUCAACCCCGGGCCUGCAGUCGAUACGGGCAGACUAGAGUGCGGUAGGGGAAAGUGGAAUUCCUGGUGUAGCGGUGAAAUGCGCAGAUAUCAGGAGGAACACCGGUGGCGAAGGCAGCUCUCUGGGCCGUAACUGACGCUGAGAAGCGAAAGCGUGGGGAGCAAACAGG